AUUCCAGCUCCAAUAGCGUAUAUUAAAGUUGUUGCAGUUAAAAAGCUCGUAGUCGGAUUUUGGCAUCACGCCGAACUGUCUGCCGAUUGGUAAGUACGGUUUGGCGGGUGCUUCCUUCCGGAGGCUCGUUCCCUUCUUCAUUGAAGGGUUCGUUGGUUCCGGGUCUUUUACUUUGAGAAAAUUAGAGUGUUCAAAGCAGGCCUAUGCUCUGAAUAGGUUAGCAUGGAAUAAUAGAAUAGGACUUUGGUUCUAUUUUGUUGGUUUCUAGGACCGAAGUAAUGAUUAAUAGGGAUAGUCGGGGGCAUUCGUAUUCAAACGACAGAGGUGAAAUUCUUGGACCGUUUGAAGACGAACUAAGGCAAAAGCAUUUGCCAAGAAUGUUUUCAUUG
rnacentral:rRNA from 1 species